AGCUCCAUUAGCGUAUAUUAAAGUUGUUGCAGUUAAAAAGCUCGUAGUUGGAUUUCAGUACGGGCCAGUUGGUCGGCCGCAAGGCCUGUGGCUGGUCUGUUCUUCUUCUCAAAGACUGCGUGGGCUCUUCGCUGAGUGUGCGUAGCAUUUGAGACGUUUACUUUGAAAAAAUUAGAGUGUUCAAGGCAGGCUACAAAGCUUGAAUACAUGAGCAUGGAAUAAUGGAAUAUGACUACGGUCCCUAUUUCGUUGGUUUCGAGGACCGAAGUAAUGAUUAAGAGGGACAGUUGGGGGCAUCCGUAUUUCGUAGUCAGAGGUGAAAUUCUUGGAUCUGCGAAAGACGAACAACUGCGAAAGCAUUUGCCAAGAGUGUUUUCAUUAAUCAAGAACGAAAGUACGC
rnacentral:rRNA from 1 species